rnacentral:lncRNA from 1 species
CUCAGACAUCCAAGGAAGGAAUUGGCAGCAUUAGCUCUCAAGCCUGGCAGGGCGAAAGCUCUUAGGCGGCAACUGCGAAUGUUUUGAGAAACAAGCCUAAGUUUUAUCAUCAUCGCCAUUGAUCUCCCCCAAAUUCAACUAUGUGAGGCAAAAAAAUAUUAUCAUGAAGUAAGCAAAGCAAAUACUGGUGGUGAUAUAGCAGUAUGGUCAGCAAGGAAAACAAAUGACAGUCACAACAAAAGAGCACCAAAAUAUAUCAGACUAAAAAAAGAAUCAUAAAGCAGAAACCAAAAAAGAACAUUAAAUCAGGUAAACCAACAUGGCUCAGACAUCCAAGGAAGGAAUUGGCAGCAUUAGCUCUCAAGCCUGGCAGGGCGAAAGCUCUUACGCAGCAACUGCGAAUGUUUUGAGAAACAAGCCUAAGUUUUAUCAUCAUCACCAUUGAUCUCCCCCAAAUUCAACUAUGUGAGGCAAAAAAAAUAUUAUCGUGAAGUAAGCAAAGCAAAUACUGGUGGUGAUAUAGCAGUAUGGUCAGCAAGGCAAACAAAUGACAGUCACAACAAAAGAGAACCAAAAUAUAUCUCCCCUAAUAAUAAAGCGCGCAGCGCUUCUGUCGCCCGUCGUCGGUCAUUUUGCAGAAAAGCCCUCACAGUUUCAGUUAAUUAACCCGCAGUCCAACUUUAAGUCAGAACGAACCAUUUUCUGUUGUUUUGCAGAAAAGUCCUCACAGUUUUAGAUAAUCAACCCGCGGUCCAUCUUUUAGUCAGAGCCAAACCAUUUUUUGCAUUUUACAGAAAACGCCCUGAUGUUUCAGGUAAUCAACCCACCAUCCCUAUUUAAGUCAGCCGAAACGUUUUUUUUUGUUUUAACAAAAAAAAAACCUGACUUUUCAGUUAAUCAAUCCAUAUUUUAUCUAAAACAAAAUUAUCCAUAUCUUUUAAACCGUAACUCCGAUUUUAACAUGUUAUAUAUGAAAUUUGAUUAAAAAAAUGUGUAGAAUCUAAAUAGGAUGUUAUUUUUAGCUGUUGAAUACUUCUUAAAUAUUAUUUUUGGUGCAAACUUAAUCUGUAAUGCACUGUCUUUUUUCUCUCUCUUUCCAACGACCGUACGAAUUGCAAUAAAUAUCCAUUAAAUUAAAACCAAAUUGAGAGGAAAGAAAACAUCAUUAACCACACAUGCACACAUUUGGAAAAUCUUGUGGGGAGAAACAACAUAUUUCUCAUCUUAUUCCGAGUGAUUGUACAUUCAAACGCGUUUUCAUUGUGUGAGCACCGAAGCCAUCGUCGACAACACAAAUGUGCUAAUAUAUUACGUUCAAAGCGUGUGUUAUUUUCUCUUCCGUUGCAACGCACGGGCUUUUUUGCUAGUCAGACUAAAAAUAGAAUCAUAAAGCAGACACCAAAAAAGAACAUUAAAACAGGUAAAUCAACAUGGCUCAGACAUCCAAGGAAGAAAUUGGCAGCAUUAGCUCUCAAGCCUGGCAGGGCGAAAGCUCUUAGGCGGCAACUGCGAAUGUUUUGAGAAACAAGCCUAAGUUUUAUCAUCAUCGCCAUUGAUCUCCCCCAAAUUCAACUAUGUGAGGCAAAAAAAUAUUAUCGUGAAGUAAGCAAAGCAAAUACUGGUGGUGAUAUAGCAGUAUGGUCAGCAAGGCAAACAAAUGACAGUCACAACAAAAGAGCACCAAAAUAUAUCACACUAAAAAAUGGAUCAUAAAGCAGACACCAAAAAAGAACAUCAAAUCAAGUAAAUCAACAUUGUUAAGACAUCCAAAAAAAUAUAUUAUGGUAAAGUAAAAGAAAAUACGGGUGGUGAUAUAACAGCAUGGUCAGCAAGGCAAACAAAUGCCAGUUGCAACAAAAGAGCACCAAAAUAUAUCAGACUAAAAAUAGAAUCAUAAAGCAGACACCAAAAAAGAACAUUAAGUCAGGUAAAUCAACAUGGCUCAGACAUCCAAGGAAGGAAUUGGCAGCAUUAGCUCUCAAGCCUGGCAGGGCGAAAGCN